AUAACAUUAGAACCGUCGGUCUACUGAGCAAUUUCACCCGUUCGGUGAAAGGUUUUACCCUUAUCGU
rnacentral:pre_miRNA from 1 species